GCAAACUUGGUCAUUUAGAGGAAGUAAAAGUCGUAACAAGGUUUCCGUAGGUGAACCUGCGGAAGGAUCAUUAUCGAGUUUGAUAUGGGUUGUCGCUGGCCUUUUCGGAGGCAUGUGCACGCCCUACUCAUUCCACAUACACCUGUGCACCACUUGUAGCUUCGAUAAGGACUUCAGUCCGAGUUGUUGCUAUGUUUUUACAUACACCGAAUGUUAUGAAUGUCUCUAUUGCUCUAAUGCAAUUUAAAUACAACUUUCAACAACGGAUCUCUUGGCUCUCGCAUCGAUGAAGAACGCAGC
rnacentral:misc_RNA from 1 species